UAGGGAAUUUUGGGCAAUGGGCGAAAGCCUGACCCAGCAACGCCGCGUGUGGGAUGAAGGCCCUCGGGUCGUAAACCACUGUCAGGAGGAAAGAAAAGUCGGCCGGAUAAUACUCGGUCGACCUGACGGUACCUCCAAAGGAAGCACCGGCUAACUCCGUGCCAGCAGCCGCGGUAAUACGGAGGGUGCAAGCGUUGUUCGGAAUUACUGGGCGUAAAGCGCGUGUAGGUGGUCGAGUAAGUCGAAUGUGAAAGCCCCGGGCUCAACCCGGGAAGUGCAUCCGAAACUGCUCGACUAGAGUCCCGGAGAGGAAGGCAGAAUUCCCAAUGUAGGGGUGAAAUCCGUAGAUAUUGGGAGGAAUACCGGUGGCGAAGGCGGCCUUCUGGACCAUUACUGACGCUGAGGCGCGAAAGCUAGGGGAGCAAACGGGAUUAGAUACCCUCGUAGUCCCUGAGCGGGCUGGCAAGGCGCAU
rnacentral:rRNA from 1 species